AUGGCCAUUCCGCUUGCGCUUCUUCUAUCUCUGCUCUUUGGCAUCCUGCUUGCACCGGAAUGUGUAGCCACACCGGACAUGGCUCCUACCACUCUGCUGCAGGUGAAGUCCGAUCUCAUCGAUCCUCAAGGCAUCCUCUCCGACUGGUCGCCGAAGGCUGAUGUCUGCUCCUGGCACGGUGUUUCAUGCCUGCUGGGAGAGGGCAUUGUGACAGGCCUCAACUUGUCGGGAUACGGCCUAUCCGGCACGAUAUCGCCGGCGAUAUCUGGCCUGAUAUCUGUGGAGUUCAUUGACCUGUCCUCCAACUCCCUCACCGGGCCGAUCCCGGCAGAGCUCGGCAUGCUGCAGAACCUGAAGACGCUGCUCCUCUACUCCAACGCCCUCGUCGGCACCAUCCCUCCGGAGCUGGGCCUCCUUGGGAACCUAAAAGUUCUCAGGAUUGGCGACAACAGGCUGCACAGCGAGAUACCACCGCAGCUCGGCAACUGCACGGAGCUCGAGACCAUGGGGUUGGCCUAUUGCCAGCUGAGUGGUGCCAUUCCUCACCAGAUUGGCAACCUGAAGAACCUGCAGCAGCUGGUCUUGGACAACAACACUCUCACCGGAAGCAUCCCGGAGCAGCUUGGUGGUUGCGCAAAUCUGCGUAGUCUGUCAGUGUCUGAUAAUAGGCUGGGUGGCAUCAUUCCCUCGUUCAUUGGCAGCCUGAGUGUUCUCCAGUCUCUCAACCUUGCAAACAAUCAGUUUUCCGGUGCGAUUCCGGCGGAUAUUGGGAAGCUAUCCAGCCUGACAUACCUCAACCUGCUCGGCAACAGCCUGACAGGCGCCAUCCCGGAAGAGCUGAACCAGCUGAGCCAGCUGCAGGUUCUUGACUUGUCCAAGAACAACAUCUCUGGAGUGAUCAGCAUCUCCACAUCACAGCUGAAGAACCUGAAGUACCUUGUGCUCUCUGACAAUGUUCUUGAUGGUACCAUACCUGAAGGCCUCUGCCCUGGCAACUCGAGCUUGGAGAGCCUGUUCCUUGCCGGGAACAACCUCAAAGGAGGCAUCGAGGGGCUGCUCAACUGCAUUUCACUGCGAUCCAUCGACGCGUCGAACAACAGCUUCACCGGAAAGAUUCCGUCGGAGAUCGACCGGCUGUCGAACCUUGUCAACCUUGUGCUGCACAACAACAGCCUUACCGGCGUUCUGCCACCUGAGAUAGGUAACUUGAGCAACCUGGAGAUGCUGUCCCUGUACCACAAUGGCCUCACCGGUGUGCUCCCGCCGGAGAUCGGCCGGCUGCAGAGGCUGAAGGUCUUGUUCCUGUACGAGAAUCAGAUGUCUGGGACCAUACCUGAUGAGAUCACCAACUGCACGAGCUUGGAAGAGGUGGACUUCUUCGGCAACCAUUUCCAUGGGACUAUCCCUGAGAAGAUCGGGAACCUCAAGAGCCUAACGGUGCUUCAGCUCCGGCAGAAUGACCUGUCCGGCUCAAUCCCAGCGAGUCUCAGGGAAUGCAGGCGGCUGCAGGCAUUGGCAUUGGCGGACAACCGGCUCUCCGGCGCACUGCCGGACACGUUCAGGCUUCUCACCGAGCUCAGCAUCAUCACCUUGUACAAUAACUCCCUUGAGGGGUCGCUGCCCGAAGCACUGUUCGAGCUGAAGAACCUGACGGUGAUCAACAUCUCGCACAACAGGUUCAGCGGCAGCGUGGUGCCUCUCCUUGGCUCGAGCUCCCUCUCCGUGCUGGUGCUGACCGACAACAACUUCUCCGGUGUCAUUCCGACAGCAGUGACACGGUCGAGGAACAUGGUCAGGCUUCAGCUGGCCGGCAACCAUCUCACCGGUGCAAUCCCGGCCGAGUUGGGCGACCUGACGCAGCUCAAGAUGCUUGACCUCUCAUCCAACAACCUCUCCGGCGAUAUCCCAUCGCAGCUCUCCAACUGCUUGCAGCUCACCCAUCUGAACCUUGAGCGUAACAGUCUGACAGGCGCCGUGCCUUCCUGGCUCGGCGGCCUGCGGUUCCUUGGAGAGCUCGACCUCUCGUCGAAUGCAUUGACCGGCGUUAUACCGGUGGAGCUCGGCAACUGUUCGAGCCUUCUCAAGCUGUCUCUCAGCGGCAACCGUCUCUCCGGCAGCAUUCCGCAGGAGAUAGGAAGGCUCACGUCCCUGAACGUUCUAAACCUGCAGAAGAACAGUCUCACCGGCGUCAUACCGCCCACACUCCGGAGGUGCAACAAGCUCUAUGAGCUGCGCCUGUCGGAGAACUCGCUGGAGGGGCCGAUCCCCAUGGAGCUCGGGCAGCUGUCAGAGCUGCAGGUGAUGCUGGACCUAAGCCAGAACAGGCUGACCGGACAGAUUCCGACGUCCCUCGGCAACCUCGUGAAGCUGGAGCGGCUGAACCUGUCCUCCAACCAGCUCCACGGGCAGAUACCAGCCUCGCUGCUGCAGCUCACCAGCCUGAACCGCCUCAACCUGUCGGACAAUCUCCUCUCCGGCACGAUACCCGCCGUGUUAUCGAGCUUCCCGGCCGCGUCCUACGCCGGCAACAACGAGCUCUGUGGCGCGCCGCUACCGACGUGCGGGGCGAACGGGAGGCGCCUGGCGAGCGCCACGGUGUCCGGCAUCGUGGCGGCCAUCGCCAUCGUCUCGGCCACUGUGUGCAUGGCUCUGCUGUACAUAAUGCUCAGGAUGUGGAGCAAUUGGAGGGAGGUGUCGGUGUCGAGCUCGGACGGUGAGGAGCCGGAGGCGCAUGGCAAAGGGGGCAAGUGCUGCGCCGGGGACGGGAAGUACUGGAAGGUCGGUUCGGGCUUGGUCGUCGCGCCGUCGACGGAGGAGAAGUACAGCUCGGCGUCGGAGAGCAGCGUUCUCCAUGGGAAGCUCACGGAGGCGAGCGCCAUCAACUCCAAGGGCUAG
rnacentral:rRNA from 1 species